rnacentral:tRNA from 1 species
GUCUCUGCAGCGCAAUGGAUAGCGCGUUGAAUUUCUAAUCCAAAGGGCGUAGGUUUGAAUCAUACUUGUGAUA